AACAAAAUCAGAAACUAAGAGGAGAAAUCUAAAUAAGCUUCGUCGUCCCCAACAUCGUCGUCAUCCAACAUAUCUCCCCAUUUUUUCUUUUUUGUAGAGACCACCGCCGACAUAGCUCGGGCUGCUUCGGAAGAGGAGUGAACCACAAAGUUUUGCAGAAUCGCCCCUCCAGCUUGAGCCUGCUGCACUUUAUUCAAGAACUCCCUCGGCAACGGAGCGUCAAGAACUCCAGC
rnacentral:lncRNA from 1 species